rnacentral:tRNA from 1 species
GGGGCUGUAGCUCAGUGGUAGAGCUCUCUUCUCGCACGUGAGGCACUGGGUUCGAUCCUCGGCACCA